GGGCCCGUAGCGCAGCUGGUAGCGCGCCUCGCUGGCAGCGAGGAGGUCACCGGUUCGAACCCGGUCGGGUCCA
rnacentral:tRNA from 1 species